AUUGAACGCUGGCGGCAGGCUUAACACAUGCAAGUCGAGCGGGGACUUCGGUCCUAGCGGCGAACGGGUGAGGAAUGCUUGGGAAUCUGCCCAGUAGCGGGGGAUAACGUUUCGAAAGGAACGCUAAUACCGCAUACGCCCUACGGGGGAAAGGGGGGGAUCUUCGGACCUCUCACUAUUGGAUGAGCCCAAGUCGGAUUAGCUAGUUGGUGGGGUAAAGGCCUACCAAGGCGACGAUCCGUAGCUGGUCUGAGAGGAUGAUCAGCCACACUGGAACUGAGACACGGUCCAGACUCCUACGGGAGGCAGCAGUGGGGAAUAUUGGACAAUGGGCGAAAGCCUGAUCCAGCCAUGCCGCGUGUGUGAAGAAGGCCUUCGGGUUGUAAAGCACUUUAAGCGAGGAGGAAUGGCUCUUGGUUAAUAACCUUGAGCAGUGACGUUACUCGCAGAAUAAGCACCGGCUAACUCUGUGCCAGCCGCCGCGGUAACAC
rnacentral:rRNA from 1 species